GCAAGCGUAUCGAAGUGGUCAUAACGGGGCUGACUCGAAAUCAGUUUGCCAUAAAGGCACGUGAGUUCGAAUCUCACCGCUUGCGCCA
rnacentral:tRNA from 1 species